UGGGGAAUUUUGGACAAUGGGGGCAACCCUGAUCCAGCCAUGCCGCGUGAGUGAAGAAGGCCUUCGGGUUGUAAAGCUCUUUCGGCUGGGAAGAAAUCGUGGUGGCUAAUAUCUGCCACGGAUGACGGUACCAGCAUAAGAAGCACCGGCUAACUACGUGCCAGCAGCCGCGGUAAUACGUAGGGUGCGAGCGUUAAUCGGAAUUACUGGGCGUAAAGCGUGCGCAGGCGGUUGUGUAAGACAGAGGUGAAAUCCCCGGGCUUAACCUGGGAACUGCCUUUGUGACUGCACAGCUAGAGUAUGGAAGAGGGGGGUGGAAUUCCACGUGUAGCAGUGAAAUGCGUAGAGAUGUGGAGGAACACCGAUGGCGAAGGCAGCCCCCUGGGCCAAUACUGACGCU
rnacentral:rRNA from 1 species